GCAGAUUUCUGCUUUGGUGAAGGCAGUCUACUAGGUGGAGUAUAUCAACUUUUCACCUAAUGAAUUACCUACAUGUUGUUCCCUCAGUACACAUGUAACCUGCUAUUCUCACCUGAGUGAACCUGCAUUAAUUAGGUUUCUCGUGAUGCUGUGCGUCUGACGUCAUGACGCCUCCGCCUUCUCCAGAAUCUUCUACCUGCAGUUGAGCCGCCAAUUUCUGUCCGACAACGGAAGAAGGUAACAAAGAUACUGAAUCUUCUUUGAAGGUGAGUCAAAGAUAAAGCAAAUAUUUUAAUGUCAGAUAUAAAAUGGUCCAACUGUAGUGUUAAAUUCGUAAAUUUUUAAUAAACUGACUGAACCAAACCAGCUGUCUUACUCAGUCCAGCGAACUUUAGCAAGUUUUAAAUUAGCAUAAUAUUUUAAAUGCAGUUUGCUGGUUUUGUCAAAAGUAUAUUGUUUUAGCUCUGUGUUCAAAUCUGAUGUGUAACACUUCGAGUAAAAUUAUAGCCCACUGAUACUAUAGCUGGUCAGUAAAUUAGCUGUACCUUGCCACUGUGCCAGUAAACGUUAGCAUUCUGCUAGCAUGCUUAGCGUAAGAACUAACCCUACCUUAAAGUUAGCUGUUAAAUAUCAGACCAGUUGGUAGUUUGCGCUUGGACAGGCAGGUCAGUAGUUAGCAGGCGGUACUGUCUUUGUUUAAUAUCGUAACGUUAGCUUAAAGUUGUGUAUUCAUGCAGUGUGUUGGUGUUGGCUUAAUGUUAGUUACUCAUUAGCAUAAGCACAUCAUUGGAGCAUGCUGGGCCCUCGGUUCUCUUCAGACUGCUUCGGGCGCGCUCAUUUAUACAUGAGUGUUGAUUCACAUGCCUGUCGGCGCGCACAGUUCAUGCGGUCACACUUUUUGGAUUGCCCUCAUGGCCACGGGUGAUGUGAAAGACCACCAUGGCUCGUUCGACACCUGCAGGACUGAAGAUUAAUACAGAGUUCCAGAGGCUCAUGGCUGAUCUUCUUGAGGAGAAGUUUGUGGCCCAGUCAGACAUGCACUCAAUUCAGCCGAUCAAAGUCAUCCGUGCUAAAGGAGGAGCAACACGCCAAAAGACUGUGGACACUUUGGACCAGACUGGACAUUAAUCUUCGGAGGGCAUGUGUGCUUAAAGCCCUCACCAUCUUCCUGGGAGAAGAUGCAGAUGACCUGAUCAAGGAAUAUCUUGACUCUGGAGGAGAUGAUGCUCAGAGGGACUUGGAGCAGCUCACCAUGCCAGUGUUUGUCAUUUGGAAGGAGGGGGAAGGACUGCAGGAGCCACCUGAAGGCAUUGGCAUCGUCAUUGAUGGCGUGGAAGUGUUGCAUGAACUGACUUCGGUUGCCUCAGCUUGUGCCCUGCUCCUAGGUUUGAUUCAUGCACUCAACCUAGCUUACCCAAAAGCCCCACUUCACUUUUGAAGUGCUCCAUAAAAUAUUCAUGCAGCUUGAUCAGCGCAGAUGUCCCCCAAAGUCCAUAAUCUGUAUAGCAAACUUCAAAGCUUGCAGUAACGACACACUUCGAUGUAUGCCUCUGCAACAACAAAUGGCCUAGUACCAUAUUGUACUUUCACACAGAUUUUGUAACAGAUUUGGCAGAAGUUUUUUCCAGACAUAUUUCCUUCCAUUUGUAGGGAAAGGAUGCAUUUCAGUUUUGAUAUGUUCAGUUACUCAACAGUUGUGACAGUGUGUAACAGUGUGAUUUAAAACUCUAAAAGAAGUGUUCAUAUUUUUUCAUCUCCAUUGUUCAGUUACACUGUUCUGAUGCAUAAUAUUCAUUGGCUAUAGCUGGUUAAAGAGGUUUCUGUAUACUGUUGGCACUUUUUCAUAGUUGUGAUAACACUAUGUGUUGAGAUUGGUAGGCAUAUUUGUAUAAUACUUUGUACUAUUUUGCACUAUUUUGGACUUUGUUGACAAAAUAAGUGGUCCUACUAACAGUUACUUAUGCAUUUUGUGCAUAUGUGUUUUAAAAAGGACAAAUGUGUAAUGUGAUGGCCCAAAAGCUGUGUUGGUGGCCAUAAAGUUAAUGGUUCUUUACAUUUAUACAAUAAAGUAAAAAAAACAAAAAAACAAACCAAAAAACCAUAUUCAUAUUUUCAGCCAACUUAAAAUUGUAAUUUUAGUUGUAUUAAACUAAAAUUCCAUUUUAAGGUUACUUGACUUGCCUUGAUUUUAAAUUGGAUUAAUGCAAAACAUUGAUUUGAGAACAAUUAAAUUAGUAAGUACAUGUGACUUUGUCAGUUGUGUUAAUCUAUUAAUUUAAUUUCAAAUAACUUAAUUCUUUUAGGUGUUAGCAAUUGAAACAAUUCAAUUAACUUGAUCCAACUAUUUUCUUUUUUCAGUGUAAUAAUGUGUAAUAAUGUAGCGUUUUGUAUGUUAUACAUGAAUGAAUUAACUGGUCUGUGCUAUAUAAUUCCUCAAAUGAAAUGCAUUACUUACCUGCUGCAUCCUAUAAUGUUGAAUUCAAAGUACAGUCUAAUGAUUACAAAAUACAUACUUAUUUUUAAUAUUUUUUGGCAUCUGAAAAGUCAUGGUAAGAGUAAGAGUAAGAAUCUUCAUAUAAGCUGAAAGUUCUGGUUCAGCUUCCUGCCUCUGCUGUUGACUGCUUAAUCCUUAAAGGUAGUACGGCACUGCAGUAGCAUUACACUCACUGAGUGUGGUAGUAACAAGUGCACCAGAGUAAAACUUUAACCAGCACAACAAUGCUUUUCUGACACACAAGAUUUAGUGUGAACUGACCAU
rnacentral:lncRNA from 1 species